rnacentral:ncRNA from 1 species
CUAUGACACAAGUAUGUCAUGGCGGAAGGAG